rnacentral:sRNA from 1 species
GUUUCCGUGGGUCAGGCACAGGGUUCUGGGUCACUGCUGUCGUGGACGCUGAUGGACUCGUGUUAGACCUCAGCAGAUUCUCUCUACACCUCCCACCAUGUUCUCCUGCCCUCAUCUCCUCUCUGUGACACCGAAGAGAGACCUGGGUUCAGGCCCACCAGAGUGCCCACCUGGAACACAACGCAUUUCCCCGGCGGAGGGUCCCCGUGAGCGCAGGCGUGUCCUCGGCGGAGGGUCCCCGUGAGCGCAGUCGUGUCCUCGGCGGAGGUCCCCGCGAGCGCAGGCGUGUCUUCGGCGGAGGGUCCCCACAAGCCACCUGUUCUCCGUGGCAGCUGACAGGCAGGAAGCUGCAUCCAGAGACGCCACUCUUCCUUCUUGGGGUCAUGCGCCGUUGGCCUCGGAGCACCUGCUGCUCCGUCUCUUGGGCCCAGGAUUCCAUCACCUCAAGCUCCUCUUCCUGUGCCGGCCUUGGGGACCCCCUCGGGCCUCGCCUCCGCUCCCAGCCACCGGCCGGGUCAUCUGUGAGCCGCACAGCCUUGUGAGGACUCCGCCGGCGGGGGCGAGCACAGAUGGGCCGUGAGAAGAUUGAUUUCCCUCUGAGGAGAUGGCUCAGUGACGCUAGAAGAAAAACAAGGAAGACAAGGUCCCCCAGGAGCGCUCAGGCCGUGCACUCUACGCGGAACUGCGUUUUCAUAACAAAACAGCCGACCAGAUGGAGGGAGAGAGAUGCUCCAGAGCAGCUGAACGGGGCGCAGCUAGGGAUGCCUCUGCACGGAGCAGGGCCCCGAGCCCCAAAGCUUUCUUAGAAACAGGAUCUGAUGCCCAGAUCUGUGCUCUCUGGAGCCCUAGUUCCCUGAGGCUAGAGUUCCCCACUGAGUCCACAUCAGGAUGACCCAAGGAGGCUUUGGAAAUGCGCUCAGGGCUGGGUGCUGCUCAAAGCUCCUGAUGGUUCUGGCGUGGCCGAGCAUCCGAACGGGCCCUGGCUCAGGCUGUGCCCCAGGUCGCUUUGGUCCCAUCUGCCAGUCAGGCUGACCACAGGGAAGGGCCAGAAAGACCCGAACUUUUCCCACCAGGACAUUCCAGUGUCACCUGUGGCGGCUCCUCCAGAGCAUCCCCAAGAGUGGGCCCAAAGGUCAGACCUCAGUGCCCAGCCCUGCACCCUCCCUGUUACGGGAGCUCAGGGGCUCCCAGCCGCCCCACCCCAGACCAGCCCUGGUCACACUCAGGACGGAGGGCAUGGGGGUCUGGACCGGCGGAGGGGAGCUGGUGGCAGAGGUGGCUAACCCCAGCAAGGGGAGGCGGGGCUGUUUUUGGCACAGGGGUUUAGUAACCUUGUAGACAGUGGAGAAUAAGAAAUAACUGUUUUGGGGCUCAGAACCAGGAAAGCUAUUUUUCCCAAUUCACCCAGGGAGAGCCAUGAAUGCACAGUUCAUAAAACUGAUUGUGGCUGCCCUCACGAGUCCCUUCAUCUUCAUUAGACAUCGGUGUCCCUGCCCUCAACCUUCCUCCUGAGUUACGGGGAUUAAGGCUGGGCUUUGAUGCAUCAACUCUGGCUGACGGAGCUGUCUGAGGAAGCCACGCCCGGGUCCUGCCGGCCCAGGGUCCACCGGCUCAGCUGCAGACCAUCACCCAUGCGGGGCGACCGGCCACGCAGGCCGCCCCUGAUGCCUCCGCGGCAACGGCAGGGGUGAGGUUUGGCAGCACACCUGUGAUAUCACCCGACGGAGCUGCAGGGACAGCGGCUCAAUCUCCAGUUUCGUCACCUAACGAUCGCUGGCCCGCGGGGAUGUCCAGAAGCGGGUCCCUCUGAGUCCCUCCUGCCGCGGUUUGCCUUUCCUGCCACAGGUUUACUCACUGCUGCUGAGUCUUUCCUUGGAGCUCUCCCAGCCGUGCUGCUCAGCCAGCCCUGCAUGCAGCCCCUCCCCUCUCCUGCUGUUCAUCUCUGUGGCACAGGGUCCGGUGUCUGUGUCUCACUUCCUUGCAUUUCGUAUUUUGGAUUGGGGGCGUUACUGGUGGCCCCCCCAUGGCCCCUGUUGUCCGUGUCACCCGUCGGCUGAGGGGCGUCCCCGGUACCCACUCUCCAAGCACAGCCUCCUCUGUUUGGACGCAGCAGCCUUCCCCGGGCAUGACCCCGGCAGGCGCCCUCUGAAGGUGAGGAGUUCCAGGAGGGCACAGGGUCUGGUGGUCUGGUCCAGCCCCCGCCUUGCGGAUCACUAAAGCAAGGGACAGAACCUGCACAGAAACGUGCAGUCAAGGGAGGAAUGUUCUGGAAGCACCUGCUGGAAGGCACUGCUGAGGCAUCUGCUGUCCCCUCCAUGAAGGCACAGCUGGGUUUCAGUUGUGAUGCUGGGCCCGAGGGACAACAAGGGCAGAGCUGGGUGCAGCCCCCCCCCCCCCGCUCUGGGAAGAGAGGCACCAGCCCCCCUGCUCCGGGUAGAGAGGCGCCAGCUGCCCAGGGGCCCCACACGAGCCCCUGCACGAGGCUCAGCUGCGGUGUCUCCACAGGCCGUCCUCAUCAUCAGCGGGAACCUCAGCUUCCUGAACUGGCUAACUAUGGUGCCCAGCCUAGCCUGCUUUGAUGACGCCACCCUGGGAUUCUUGUUCCCCUCUGGGCCGGGCAGCCUGAAGGACCGAGUUCUGCAGAUGCAGAGGGACAUCCGAGGGGCCCGGCCCAAGCCCAGAUUCGGCUCCGUGGUGCGGCGUGCAGCCAACGUCUCGCUGGGCGUCCUGCUGGCCUGGCUCAGCAUGCCCGUGGUCCUCAACUUGCUGAGCUCCAGGCAGGUCAUGAACACCCACUUCAACUCUCUUCACAUCGUCAACACUUACGGGGCCUUCGGAAGCAUCACCAAGGAGCGGGCGGAGGUGAUCCUGCAGGGCACAGCCAGCUCCAACGCCAGCGCCCCCGACACCGUGUGGAAGGACUACGAGUUCAAGUGCAAGCCAGGUGACCCCAGCAGACGGCCCUGCCUCAUCUCCCCGUACCACUACCGCCUGGACUGGCUGAUGUGGUUCGCGGCCUUCCAGACGUACGAGCACAACGACUGGAUCAUCCACCUAGCUGGCAAGCUCCUGGCCAGCGAUGCCGAGGCCUUGUCCCUGCUGGCACACAACCCCUUCGCGGGCAGGCCCCCGCCCAGGUGGGUCCGAGGAGAGCACUACAGGUACAAGUUCAGCCGUCCUGGGGGCAGGCACGCCGCCGAGGGCAAGUGGUGGGUGCGGAAGAGGAUCGGAGCCUACUUCCCUCCGCUCAGCCUGGAGGAGCUGAGGCCCUACUUCAGGGACCGUGGGUGGCCUCUGCCCGGGCCCCUCUAGACGUGCACCAGAAAUAAAGGCCAAGACCCAGC